AACCCCACUUACCGACUCCCAUCGCACUAAAAUAAGCCAAGGAGGAUGCUAUGUUGACCACAUGAGGAUUUGGAUCUUGUAAAAGGAGAGGAAAUAAUGCAGAUGUAAUUGCCAGCUGUCCGAUCACAUUUGUUUCAAAGCAUCUAAAUUAAGCAGUUAGAAAAUAAGGCUUACUACGCUUAACCUGUACUUACUUUUGUAAUUCUUGUCUUGAUAUAGACAGCAAAUGAUUUUUUGGAGCAAUAGCUGCAGCAUUGAUCAGAGCAAAAGGGGUCCUGUUCAUCUUUUUCAAAGAAUGGACACAUCCUUCUACGUCCUUAUCUUUGGUAAUAUUACAUUUCAAAGCACUAAAUUUAGAAUUGUACUGUAGAAAAGAUGCAGGCUCAGUACUGUCCAAAGAGGCGACGCUGAAGCCUCUAUCCAACGCCUCUUGAAUAAUAGCAUGACCAAGAAUCCCACUUCCUCCUGUUAUCACAAUCAGUCCUUUAGCACAUGAAUAGGAUUGUUUCCUGAAAAGUAGAGGAAACCAAGAAAGGGUUAAGGCAGCACAAACAAGCGAAAUCACCAAUAAUAAUAUAUGAUUCAACAUCAGGGAAUGACUUCUGUGAAAAAUAUGAUAAGUUGCUGAAUGGAAACUUGGCAGAAAGUCGUUAACAUUAGCAGCGAACUCUUUUGUGUUUCGAAUAAGUUAACGUCCAAGUUCUGAUCGUCUAAAGACCCUAAUAUCGUAUUUGACGAAGUCAAGGAGAGAACCUUAGUAGAUGCUGCCAAACAAAAGCUAUUUCCUAGUGUAAGCAAAAAUCACGCGUAGUAGAAUAAUUCAUUAAAUCGUUGAACACUGCUUUUAUAAACUUAUAUAAUAAAGUUUUGAUCAGUAUCGCCAAUGUUGUAUUGAACUUGUUAACUAAAUUAUUCAAUCCGUACUACGAAAAAUGGAAUGCCCAUCCUGAUCUUAACUUGAUUAGUCUUAUAGAGUCAAAGAUAAGUGAUGGUUUUUUUUUUAAAAUAUUACGCCUAUCAUAAAAAGAAGCAUUAAAAAAUGCGAUUAAGAAUUGCGUCUUCAAUUUCCUUAUAUAUUGAAACAUAGUACACACUAUACCUUCCCUUCAUCUUCGACUAGUUGUUUUUAAAAUAUUUGAAAGUUUGAGCGUGCUCAGUUUUCUAUGUUGCAUAUAGAUCAAAG